AGAAGGACGUGCACAUGCAAAUGU
rnacentral:siRNA from 1 species